CUCACCAACCAUCUGUUCUCCUAUAGGAGCUUCCUCUUGAAUUUGGGCUCCAUUUUCAUCCCAGAAUGAGGGGAAGAAUUGCAAACACAAAGAAGAACCUUUCAGGUUAGAUGGCCACCCCUGGACCAAUAAGGCAUGGUCAGGAAAGAAUUGGAACAUGCAAUAUAAAAUGUGACUUCCUUUUAAUAAGGAAAUACCUAUGGUUGUCACCUUGUCAAGAGCACCGGGCACUGUGACAUGGAGAGCCUUAUGGAUUCCUUUUGGGGAUCAAAGGAGAAUGAGAAGAAAAGAACACAACUCUACACCUGGAUCAACUCAUUGACUACUAUUCCAGACUUUGUCAUGGAAAAUGGAUGGAACUCUACUCCAAGCCUAGAAACUUGGGAAUAUAUAAUCUGCCUGAAAGAGAGCAACGUUUCUUUUCAUCACAGAAACAAAAACUAGGAGAAAGGCCUUGCCCCUAUGAAGAGAGGAAGUCCCUCAACACUGGAGACCCCAUGGAUUUUCAUGGAGGGGCAUCUUGAUUGACACCAUAAAUGUCGAUAAGUCAGGGGCAAUUUGAUGUUAUCCCUUGAGCUUUUUCACCUCCCUGUUACUGAAAAACAUCUCAUCAUCAUUAUCAUUAC